UUUCCUCAGGUUAAAGUUUCUAAUGUCUUCAUCACCGAAAUCAAUCGAUCCUGCAGUUGUAUCAUAAUAUCUGAGCAAAAGAGAGGCAAUCGUUGAUUUACCACUUCCUGAUGGACCUACAGCGCAGACAUGUUCACCAGGUUUUAUAGUGAUAUUCAAAUCCUUAAAGAUUUGAUGUUUGGGCCGAGUUGGAUAUGUGAACGAUACGUCUUUAAAGACAAUAGGUUUGUGUGCCAAAGACACUGGAUCCUUCCCAAUAGUCGGGCGAAUUAGCGGUUUACGAUCAUUCAAUUCGAACACUCUAGCUGCUGCACCGGCACCUUUCAUAAGCUCCGAGUAGAAGCUGGAUAAACCAAAUAGUGAGCUUCCGGUAUACACAGCGUACAUCAUAAAACUUGUUAGCUCACCAACUGUCAUAGCACCGCUCUGAAUCAUAUUCGUUCCGACCAAUAAUAACGAUAACAUUGCUGCAUUACCCACCAGUCCCGUACUUCCGAAGAACAAACCAGAAGUAACAGCCUCCUUCAGACCGACAUGAAAGACGUUUCUAACUUCUUUUGCGUAACGGCGGACUUCAUUUUUCUCACCACCGUAUGCUUGAAUUGUUCUUGUAGCAUUCAGCUGCUCUUCUGCUACUUUUGUUAACCCACCUACAGAAGUUUGUAGUUGUCUUGAUAAAUUUCGUAUUUUUCUACCAUAUAUCAGCGCCAUGGCACCUAAUGGAGGAGCCAGAACCAUCAUGACACAAGUUAAUUUCCAAGAGAGGAAACUCAUCAUACCAAAACCGACAAACCCUUGAAUGAUUGCUCUUGCUCCAUCCGAGACGUUCUGUGUGACAGAUUUUGCCACUAUGGAAGCGUCUGACGAUAGUCUUGAAAUUAAAUCACCGACACGAUUGGUAUCUAAAAAUGUUGCAUCUUGGUCUAAAGCAGCUUUCAUCGUUCUUGUUCUUAGUCUUGCGACUAGUCGUUCACCGGUGACUUUCAAAAUGAUUAUUCUACUAGCGUUAGCGAUUGCGCCGAUUAAGAACACAGCCCCUAGAGCUGUAAAGAACUGCCUCUUGGUUAGACCAUAAAGCUUGUUAUCUUUUGUUUCUUCCUCGUCUUCUUCGUCGUCAUUGUGGGAAGCUAAAUCUAAUAAUUUACCUAUGACGGAGGGUACAGCCAUACUAACUGAACUCGAAAUAAGAAUUAAAAGAAGAGCAAGUCCGAUGUAUCCGGAUUCUGGUUUGGAUAAUACAAACAACCGUUUGAUAUCUUUGAACCCUGAUGAUUUUGAAUCUGCAUCGGAUAGUUUUAAAGUAGGUGAACCAGAGCUAGCAGACUUCUUUCCAUUUGUAGGGCUUGACUGGAAACGAAUUGUUUGAAACAUCAAUGGCUUCCUGUGAGGUAUAGUCGGUCUUGCCCUUAUCUUUGGGUACACUAUGGGUCUAAUUAACGGUUUAGUCAAGUAUAGUGCCCUUGAUGAUGAGAAUUGCCUUCGCAACAUGUUUGGACCAUUGAAAAGACGUAUCAUUCUUGUAAUCCCUUUAUCCUUCCUCUUUUAUAGUCUAGUAUCCUUCUGCUAAUACGCCUCUCAUGUAAGUAAUACCGUUCACUUAGUUCGAGUAUAUAUCUAUGAGUAUAUUCAAUAUUAAAAUUUCAACAUAUAUAAAUCAUGGUACUGUAGUCUCGGCUCGAUGCGCCUAAACGAAAGCGAGGCGACAGCGACAGCAAUAGGCUUGUGAACUAAUAUUUAUACGCAUAGAAAAUAAAAACAAAGCAAGAGGGAGUGAAUAAGGAUUAUUUUCAUAGAUCCUAUGGAUAAAAUAAUACAUAUAUUGAGAAGUACAUAGAAAUGGUUAACAAAAAGAAAUGGAAAUAGUGGAAACGGAAUUGAACUAGUUAGAAUAUGGGUUAGUUGAUGUGUUAUUAGGUGGCAUAAACUGUGAAAAUCCGCCUGGUGUGACACGUGGCUUUGUGUGAUUAUUGAUCUUUAUAGGAGGAUUAGAGCGGCUAUCUUGUAUGUUGGGCUGUAUUAUUGGUGCUGGGCCUCUACUAUUUAUUGGUGCUUUAUUAUUCGGAUAUCUCAUAUUUUGGGGUUGUUGCUGUGAUGGGUAUAACGGAUUCUGGUUGUUAAUGCCCCGGUAAACAUCGUUUCUCAGAGGAAGCAAUUGUGCUUGUUGCGAUUGUUGUGAGGGAGCGAAACGCUGUUGCGGAAAUUGGGGAUUAUUAAUUGGCGAGUUCCCGCUCUGAUGCAUAGGUUGAGUGGUCAAUGGGCCCGUUCUUAUAUUGACCAAUGGGCGGCCAGAGGGAUAUGACGCCAAAGGCUGUGAGGCGUUGGUUUGUAAAUUUCUGUUAGCAUAUGACGGAGAUUGCGGUCCUGUAUGAGGUGCUUGCAAUUGUUGAGAUUGUUUCGUUUGAUAUUCAGUACCAUUCAUCAUAUUUUGGUAGGCGCCUCCAUUUGAGGUGAGCUGUUUCAAAUUCGUAAACAGAGAAGAAUGAGGUAUCUUCUCAUUCCUGCCGCUGACAGUAAAUUUCUCAGUUUCCGUUGGGUUUAUCUGUGUACUGCUAUAGUUACUUGAUCCUGCAUCCUGGUUAUCAGAGAAGUCAAAUUCAUCCGUAGUGUAUCUACUUUCCGUUUCCAGCAUUUGGUUUUGUUCCAUAUAGUCAGGAUCAAAUACGUUUGCUUCUCCGAAAUCCAGUUUACGUUGGUCAUCAGGUAAGGUGGUAGGUGAAUCAGUACUAAUGUCUAAGUUCAAAUCCGUUACUAAAGAAUUAUCCUCUGAUUUUUCAUUUAGAGCCUCUGAAGACAUAUUGCCUACUCCCAUAUUGCUAAUCUUUCGGGAAAGCUCUUCAAACUCUCCUAACGAUCCCAUAUACUCAUUUCUUGAAUAUCUAUUAUCCUCUACCCUUACAGGUGACGAUAGACACGUGUUGAUUGUGCUCUUGGAUUCUCUCACAUUACCUAUUUCAAAUAUCUUACUUUCAGCGGAUGUUCCAACAUAUCUCUCAUAAGGACUUCUACAUUCGCUUUCAAUUCGAUCGUUGACAUCUAAAGUUUGUGGCUUAGGACUUAAAUUAGCCUCGGAUUUACCAAAUGGCGAAGUAGAGUAUUUGUCAUAAAGAGCAGAUAAGUCAGGCGCAUUAGCCAGUGGUAUAUGCUUGUCUUCCGGUGUCGUGGAAAAGUUGUUGGAAGAGUCCGCUUCGACUUCUUCCGUACUUUUGAGACUCGAAUCCGUGAUUUCAAUCUUCAGACCCGAUGUCAAGCUUCUAUUCGUAUUCUCUUGAUUGAGCAUCCCAGAUGUCAUUGGAGUGGUAAAGCUAUCCUUGAAGUUGGUGAUAGCGCUGGAUUGAGUGGAUAAAGAAUCACUGAUUUUUGAGGAGUUGUCAGGCACAGACAAAAGGGUUUGUUUCG
rnacentral:rRNA from 1 species